AGUGAACGCUGGCGGUAGGCCUAACACAUGCAAGUCGAACGGCAGCACAGUAAGAGCUUGCUCUUACGGGUGGCGAGUGGCGGACGGGUGAGGAAUACAUCGGAAUCUACUUUUUCGUGGGGGAUCACGUAGGGAAACUUACGCUACUACCGCAUACGACCUACGGGUGAAAGCAGGGGAUCUUCGCACUUUGCGCGAUUGAAUGAGCCGAUGUCGGAUUAGCUAGUUGGCGGGGUAAAGGCCCACCAAGGCGACGAUCCGUAGCUGGUCUGAGAGGAUGAUCAGCCACACUGGAACUGAGACACGGUCCAGACUCCUACGGGAGGCAGCAGUGGGGAAUAUUAGACAAUGGGCGCAAGCCUGAUCCAGCCAUACCGCGUGGGUGAAGAAGGCCUUCGGGUUGUAAAGCCCUUUUGUUAGGAAAGAAAAGCAGCAGGUUAAUACCCCGCUGUUCUGACGGUACCCAAAGAAUAAGCACCGGCUAACUUCGUG
rnacentral:rRNA from 1 species